UCCGUAGGUGAACCUGCGGAAGGAUCAUUAUCGAGUUCUGACUGGGUUGUAGCUG
rnacentral:rRNA from 1 species